rnacentral:rRNA from 1 species
UACAGAGGGUGCAAGCGAUAAUCGGAAUUACUGGGCGUAAAGCGUGCGUAGACGGUUGCGUAAGUCAGAUGUGAAAGCCCCGGGCUCAACCUGGGAAUUGCAUUUGAGACUGCGUAGCUAGGGUGCGGAAGAGGGAAGCGGAAUUUCCGGUGUAGCGGUGAAAUGCGUAGAUAUCGGAAGGAACACCAGUGGCGAAAGCGGCUUCCUGGUCCAGCACCGACGUUCAGGCACGAAAGCGUGGGGAGCAAACAGG